UUGCUUUCGGUGCAUCUGAUGGUGUCAUUAGAGUUCUAUCAAUGAUGACAUGGAAGCUUGUGCGAAGGUACACUGGAGGUCAUAAGGGGUCUAUCUCUUGCUUGAUGUCAUUCAUGGCUGCUUCUGGUGAGGCUCUUCUAGUUUCGGGUGCUAGUGAUGGAUUGCUCAUAAUUUGGAGUGCUGACCACUGACAAGAUUCACGUGAACUUGUACCCAAGCUGAGUUUAAAAGCACAUGAUGGAGGGGUUGUGGCAGUUGAGUUGUCAAGGGUGAUGGGAGGUGCUCCUCAGCUAAUCACAAUUGGUGUAGAUAAGACAUUAGCCAUAUGG